AUUUACAGAAAACAACCUAUAAGGAAAAAUAAUUUAAAAACAAAAAAUGAAAUAAAAUCAUAAUUUUUAUUAUAGUAAGAAUAUUACAAUGUCUUUACAGUUUCCAAUAAAAGGAAAAUUGCAAGGAAAUAAAAGAAAAUCCUAAAACUAAUCUUCUAAUCUUUUCUUCUUUUUCUUCACUUUAUCCCUGCAAAAUGGAACAAAAUAAACAGAAACACAAACAAACUAUUUAUAACAUGUCAAUACUAUCAUUUUUUAUGCAGAACUAGAUAUGAGCAUAUAUUUCCAGAAUUACAUGGUGUGAAUAUUGUAUGAGUAAGAUUAUAAUGGAAAUGAAUUUUGAUAGGAGCCCACUUUCGACGAGUAUUUAUCUCACAGAGCUAGGUAAUCAGGGCGUUUACCUUUUGAUAAUAUUAUUAUACUAUACUACCAGUAUACUACUCCACUUGGCUUUUUUAGAUGAGCAGAUCUGAGAUAGACAUAUGUUCAAGUGGCUAUAGGUAGGCUUGAAGAAUUCUCAUCGGUUCAAGUGGCUACAGGUAGUCGCACAGCUGGAAUAUAGACUACUAGUACUAUUUGAAAAGAAAACAAGAGCAAAUCUGAACGUACUAGUUAGAUCCGAUCACAUUGAGCUAGAAAGAAAAUUCAUCAGGAAACAGAUGGCCGACGACUUACUUGCAGACGUUGAGGAUCUCGUUGUGACCGGCGAAGACGCUGCGGAGCGCGUUGCAGACGGACUGCUCACAGUGAUAGCUGCCGUGCAGACGGACUGCUCACAGUGAUAGCUGCCGCAGAUGAACUUGUUGUCCUGCAGGUAGUCCAGCAGCCAGGAAUUAAAGAUAGGAGGGCUAGAAUUGAAAGAACUAACAAUUCAUGAGUAGGGCAAACAUAAACAUGCUCAAGUAUAAGAAAAAGGAGAACACCCAAUUCUAUGCAACAACAUAGAAAAAAGGAAUAAUUUAGCUGAUGCAUUUGAGCUCAUAUGCUUUAGAAGUGGUCAUACGAUGUGUUUAGCAUUCCCAUACGAUGGUGUCCUUUUUUCUUCUUCUAAGGAGCACAUACUCUUUGUGGUAUUGUGGUUAUACUAAGUUACUAACUCACCAGCAAGCAAUCUCAAACAAGUAUCAGCAAAAAAAAGGGUUACUUACUAAGUCGAAGCCUGUUCUUUAAUGCAGCUAAACAAACAUAUGUUGUGAUAGGUAAAAUACCCUUUAAAGCAGGACUGAUUCCAGAGUCUAUGAUGUUCACCAAUCAACGCGGUGCUCUAUAUCUAUCACUGCGAGAACUGAAAACAGACCAUCCAAAAAAAGUACUAGAACACAAGCAGCAACAUAGACGGAAAACAGGAAUAGUUCAGCCAAAUGCAGUUGAGCCAGUUGGCAUACAAUUCAACAGUUGUUAAGAAUCAA
rnacentral:lncRNA from 1 species